rnacentral:rRNA from 1 species
GACGAACGCUGGCGGCGUGCUUAACACAUGCAAGUCGAACGAGAGCGUAGAGAAAGCUUGCUUUUUCUACAAUCUAGUGGCAAACGGGUGAGUAACGCGUAAACAACCUGCCCUACGGAUGGGGACAACAGCUGGAAACGGCUGCUAAUACCGAAUACGUUCCGAAAGUCGCAUGACUAUCGGAAGAAAGGAUGGCCUCUAUUUAUAAGCUAUCGCCGGAGGAGGGGUUUGCGUCUGAUUAGCUAGUUGGAGGGGUAACGGCCCACCAAGGCGACGAUCAGUAGCCGGUCUGAGAGGAUGAACGGCCACAUUGGAACUGAGACACGGUCCAGACUCCUACGGGAGGCAGCAGUGGGGAAUCUUCCGCAAUGGGCGAAAGCCUGACGGAGCAACGCCGCGUGAGUGAAGACGGCCUUCAGGUUGUAAAGCUCUGUUAUACGGGACGAAUAAUCUUGUGGUUAAUACCCAUGAGAAGUGACGGUACCGUAAGAGAAAGCCACGGCUAACUACGUG